GGUGAUGUUGGUCUUCCCCCUGGUUCAUGUAAUGGAGACAGUGGCGGCCCUCUGGCCUGUGGACAUCGUUUUCUGCUUGGAGUGACUUCCUACGGGUUUGAUGAUUGUUCGGUGGAGACCCCAUCUGUCUACACGAGAGUCCCUGGCUACUACAGCUGGAUUAUUGAGAGCAUCUUUCAACACAGUUUCCUUCAAUAGGGAGACCUGAAAGGCAGACAAGUCCUUGUUGAUCGAGCACACAAUAAACAUUCAUUGAAACACA
rnacentral:sRNA from 1 species